GACGAACGCUGGUGGCGUGCUUAACACAUGCAAGUCGAACGGAAAGGCCCUGCUUUUGUGGUGUGCUCGAGUGGCGAAGGGGUGAGGAACACGUGAGUAACCUGCCCUUGACUUUGGGAUAACUUCAGGAAACUGGAGCUAAUACAGGAUAGGAGCUCCUGCUGCAUGGUGGGGGUUGGAAAGUUUCGGCGGUUGGGGAUGGACUCGCGGCUUAUCAGCUUGUUGGUGGGGGAGUGGCUGACCAAGGCUUUGGAGGGUAGCCGGCAUGAGAGGGUGACCGGCCACAUGGCGCCUGAGAUACGGCCCAGACUCCUACGGGAGGCAGCAGGGGGGAAUAUUGCACAAUGGGCGGAAGCCUGAUGCAGCAACGUCGCGUGCGGGAUGACGGUCUUCGGGUUGUAAACCGCUUUCGCCUGUGACGAAGCGUGAGUGACGGUAAUGGGUAAAGAAGCACCGGCUAACUACGUG
rnacentral:rRNA from 1 species